AGCACUUGUGUUUGUGUUUGUUGAACGGGUGGAAAAAACAUGAAAGUCAGGUGCAAAAAUGAAUCCUCUCGCAACCCAGAACUCAUUGUUCAGCAUGAGUUUUGAAACCUGAAAGAAAGAAUAUG